rnacentral:pre_miRNA from 1 species
AUAGUACUCCCUCCGUCCCAAAAUUCUUGUCUUAGAUUUGUCUAGAUACGGAUGUAUCAAGUCACAUUUUAGUAUUAGAUACAUCCGUAUAUAGACAAAUCUAAGACAAGAAAUUUGGGACAGAGGGAGUAGUUG